rnacentral:rRNA from 1 species
GACGAACGCUGGCGGCGUGCUUAACACAUGCAAGUCGAGCGGUAAGGCCCUUCGGGUACGACGAGCGGCGAACGGGUGAGUAACACGUGGGUGACCUGCCUCUAGCUCUGGGAUAAGCCUGGGAAACUGGGUCUAAUACCGGAUAUGACUCCACGGCGCAUGUUGUGGGGUGGAAAGCCUUGUGUGGCUAGAGAUGGGCCCGCGGCCUAUCAGCUUGUUGGUGGGGUGAUGGCCUACUAAGGCGACGACGGGUAGCCGGCCUGAGAGGGCGACCGGCCACACUGGGACUGAGACACGGCCCAGACUCCUACGGGAGGCAGCAGUGGGGAAUCUUGCGCAAUGGGCGAAAGCCUGACGCAGCGACGCCGCGUGAGGGAUGACGGCCU